GUCUUUUUGAGUUAUUUUUAAAGUCUGACCUGCCCACUGAAUAUUUUUAAGUGGCCGCAGUAUUCUAACUGUGCAAAGGUAGCAUAAUCAUUAGUCUUUUAAUUGAAGGCUGGUAUGAACGGUUGGACGAAGUAUAAGCUGUUUCAUAUAAAAUUAUAUUAGAAUUUUAUAUUUUAGUUAAAAAGCUAAAAUAUUAUUAAAAGACGAGAAGACCCUAUAAAUCUUUAUAUUUAAUAUUAUUCAAAUUUUUUUGAUUAAUUUUAUUUUUAUAAUAUUAAAUAUUUUGUUGGGGUGAUAUUAAAAUUUAACAAACUUUUAAUUUUGAAUUAGAACAUUAAUUUAUGAAUAGUUGAUCCAUUAUUAAUGAUUAUAAGAUUAAGUUACUUUAGGGAUAACAGCGUAAUUUUUUUUGAGAGUUCAUAUCGACAAAAAAGUUUGCGACCUCGAUGUUGGAUUAAGAUAUAUAUUUAGGUGUAGCCGUUUAAAUAUUAAGUCUGUUCGACUUUUAAAUUCUUACAUGAUCUGAGUUCAA
rnacentral:rRNA from 1 species